UACGAAGGGGGCUAGCGUUGUUCGGAUUUACUGGGCGUAAAGCGCACGUAGGCGGACUAUUAAGUCAGGGGUGAAAUCCUGGAGCUCAACUCCAGAACUGCCUUUGAUACUGAAGAUCUUGAGUUCGGGAGAGGUGAGUGGAACUGCGAGUGUAGAGGUGAAAUUCGUAGAUAUGGGGAGGAACACCUGAGGCGAAGGCGGGUUGCUGGGCUGAUACUGACGCUGAGGCGCGAAAGCCAGGGGAGCAAACGGG
rnacentral:rRNA from 1 species